AGAGGACACCCUGUCCACAGAGAAACAGACGUCUCACUCAACACAUGUUCCAUCGUUCACCUUUUUAACGGUGGAUUCAAAUUUUUGUAGGUGGUCAAUCGGCCACCGAUGGCGCUUCCAUCGGAUUUGCUUGUGUUUGACGUUUGCACACUACCGCCAUCUGGUUGCCGUUUGACCACACACACUGCAUUUAGCACUGGGCGAUAAUGCUUCCGUGACGACGAUUUUGAUUGCAUUUUGUUCUAAGUGAGACGUCUGUUUCUCUGUGCCCUGUCCCUGGCCCCGAUCAAAAGGAACAGCAGAAGUCGUGAAACUAUGCAGCUCGAAUCACAAGGUUUUCCGCUGUCGGAAGUUCCGUUUUCGUUCGUGCCAGAACUGAAAGAAUUCGACUUGCGUGCUGUGAAAUACUUGCACCCGCCGGCACUCAAACAAGUGCAGUUCCUACUUUUUACCAAUUGUUCCAAUUGUUAUGACCAGCAGAUCCUCGAAAUCCACCCAUCACGGAAACCGCUGGCCGCGACAACUAGCAGCUGCCGUCGAUCUACAAGCCAUGGCACCGCUAGCAGUUGCAGGGCGAUACUACGAAACUCAGCACGGCGAAUGCAAUCAUCGAACAGGUUGGAAAGAAAGCUCAGCUGGUAAUUUGCGACGGGGCUCCCGAUGUGACCGGUCUUCACGACAUCGAUGAAUACAUUCAAUCUCAGCUGCUGCUGGCCGCCCUCAACAUCACAACUCACGUCCUGGCCGAGGGGGGUACAUUCAUUGCGCGAUCAAUUUUCCGCGGACAAGACACCACAUGGAAUGAAUUGUCAUCGGGAAUACCUGGUUUGAUACUGCGAAGUGUUCAACGUGAUGGGCAGCAGGCACGGAUAUUCGGCAACAUGUCGACGGCACCAGCUUUUACUUAAUCAGAUCCGGCUCUUGGUGUUCCCGACUUUAAAUUCAUUACUAUCAUAUUUCAGUCUGCUGAAUGGAGGCUCGAAU